rnacentral:rRNA from 1 species
CCCAGGUGUAGCGGUGAAAUGCGUAGAGAUCUGGAGGAAUACCGGUGGCGAAGGCGGCCCCCUGGACAAAGACUGACGCUCAGGUGCGAAAGCGUGGGGAGCAAACAGGAUUAGAUACCCUGGUAGUCCACGCCGUAAACGAUGUCGACUGGAGGUUGUUCCCUUGAGGAGUGGCUUCCGGAGCUAACGCGUUAAGUCGACCGCCUGGGGAGUACGGCCGCAAGGUUAAAACUCAAAUGAAUUGACGGGGGCCCGCACAAGCGGUGGAGCAUGUGGUUUAAUUCGAUGCAACGCGAAGAACCUUACCUACUCUUUAGCAGAGAUGCUUUGGUGCCUUCGUGCUGCAUGGCUGUCGUCAGCUCGUGUUGGAAAUGUUGGGUUAAGUCCCGCAACGAGCGCAACCCUUAUCCUUUGUUGCCAGCGGUUGGCCGGGAACUCAAAGGAGACUGCCAGUGAUAAACUGGAGGAAGGUGGGGAUGACGUCAAGUCAUCAUGG